rnacentral:rRNA from 1 species
UUAAGUUUUUAAGAGCACAUGGUGAAUGCCUUGGCAGUAGGAGCCGAAGAAGGACGUUGUAGCCUGCGAAAAGCCUCGGGGAGCUGGCAAACAAGCUUUGAUCCGAGGAUGUCCGAAUGGGGAAACCCCGCUGGAGUCAUGUCCAGUGACUCUCGCCUGAACACAUAGGGCGAGUAGAGGGAACGUCGGGAAGUGAAACAUCUCAGUACCGACAGGAAGAGAUAUUCCGUGAGUAGUGGCGAGCGAAACCGGAAAAGGCCAAACCGUUAGCGUGUGAUAGCCGGCAGGCGUUGCGUUAGCGGUGUUGUGGGACCUUUCUGAUGGAUCUGCCGAUCCGUCAAGGAGUCAAAAAUCUGCGUGAUAGUCGAAGGGCAUUGAAAGGCCCGGCACAGAGGGUGUAACCCCCGUAGACGAAAUUUCGCAGACUCCUGAGAGUCAUCCCAAGUAGCACGGGGCCCGAGAAAUCCCGUGUGAAUCCGCGAAGACCACUUCGUAAGCCUAAAUACUACCUACUGACCGAUAGUGAAUCAGUACCGUGAGGGAAAGGUGAAAAGUACCCCGAGAGGGGAGUGAAAUAGUACCUGAAACCGUGUGCUUACAAUCCGUUGGAGCCUCCCUAGCAGGGGUGACAGCGUGCCUUUUGAAGAAUGAGCCUGCGAGUUAGUGGUAUGUGGCAAGGUUAACCCGUGUGGGGUAGCCGUAGCGAAAGCGAGUCCGAAUAGGGCGUUUGAGUCGCAUGCUCUAGACCCGAAGCGAAGUGAUCUAUCCAUGGCCAGGUUGAAGCGCGGGUAAGACCGCGUGGAGGACCGAACCCACUUCAGUUGAAAAUGGAGGGGAUGAGCUGUGGAUAGGGGUGAAAGGCCAAUCAAACUUCGUUAUAGCUGGUUCUCCCCGAAAUGCAUUUAGGUGCAGCGUUGCGUGUUUCUUACCGGAGGUAGAGCUACUGGAUGGCUAAUGGGCCUCACCAGGUUACUGACGUCAGCCAAACUCCGAAUGCCGGUAAGUGAGAGCGCAGCAGUGAGACUGUGGGGGAUAAGCUUCAUAGUCGAGAGGGAAACAGCCCAGAACACCAACUAAGGUCCCAAAGCGUGUGCUAAGUGGGAAAGGAUGUGGAGUUGCCCAGACAACCAGGAGGUUGGCUUAGAAGCAGCCACCCUUGAAAGAGUGCGUAAUAGCUCACUGGUCAAGUGAUUCCGCGCCGACAAUGUAGCGGGGCUCAAGUACACCACCGAAGUUGUGUCAUUCAUAUAUUAGCCAGGCCUUCGUGGUCCAAGCGUAUGGAUGGGUAGGGGAGCGUCGUGUAGCGAGUGAAGUCGCGGGGUGACCCAGCGGUGGACGCUACACGAGUGAGAAUGCAGGCAUGAGUAGCGAAAGACGGGUGAGAAACCCGUCCGCCGAAUGAUCAAGGGUUCCAGGGCCAGGUUAAUCCGCCCUGGGUAAGUCGGGACCUAAGGCGAGGCCGACAGGCGUAGUCGAUGGACAACGGGUUGAUAUUCCCGUACCGGCGAAGAACCGCCCAUGCAGAAUCAGAUGAUGCUAAGCGCCAGAAGCAGCUGAACCCUUCGGGGGAAUGUCUGUGGAUCGCGCGACCCGAGUCUGUAGUAAGCAAGCGUAUUAACAGGGGUGACGCAGGAAGGUAGCCGAGCGUGGCGAUGGUUGUCCACGUUUAAGGGUGUAGGGCGAGUCGUAGGCAAAUCCGCGACUCACAUAGCCUGAGACCUGAUGAUGACAGCAAUAGCUGGAAAUCGGUGAUCCUAUGCUGCCAAGAAAAACCUCGGCGCGAGGUUCUAGCCGCCCGUACCCCAAACCGACUCAGGUGAUCAGGUAGAGAAUACUAAGGCGAUCGAGAUAAUUAUGGUUAAGGAACUCGGCAAAAUGCCCCCGUAACUUCGGGAGAAGGGGGGCCUGAGGCGUGACGGAACUUGCUUCCCGAGCGUUCGAAGGCCGCAGAGACCAGAGAGAAGCGACUGUUUACUAAAAACACAGGUCCGUGCGAAGUCGCAAGACGAUGUAUACGGACUGACGCCUGCCCGGUGCUGGAAGGUUAAGAGGAAGGGUUAGCCGCAAGGCGAAGCUCAGAAUUUAAGCCCCAGUAAACGGCGGUGGUAACUAUAACCAUCCUAAGGUAGCGAAAUUCCUUGUCGGGUAAGUUCCGACCUGCACGAAUGGCGUAACGACUUCUCUGCUGUCUCAACCGUAAACUCGGCGAAAUUGCAUUACGAGUAAAGAUGCUCGUUACGCGCAGCAGGACGGAAAGACCCCGGGACCUUUACUAUAGCUUGGUAUUGGUAUUUGGUGUGGUUUGUGUAGGAUAGGUGGGAGACUUUGAAGCCGAUACGCCAGUAUUGGUGGAGUCAUUGUUGAAAUACCACUCUGAUCAUUCUAGAUAUCUAACCUCGGUCCGUAAUCCGGAUCAGGGACAGUGCCUGGUGGGUAGUUUAACUGGGGCGGUUGCCUCCCAAAAAGUAACGGAGGCGCUCAAAGGUUCCCUCAGCCUGGUUGGCAAUCAGGUGGCGAGUGCAAGUGUACAAGGGAGCUUGACUGUGAGACUGACAGGUCGAGCAGGGACGAAAGUCGGAACUAGUGACCCGCUGGUGGCAAGUGGAAGCGCCAGCGCUCAACGGAUAAAAGGUACCCCGGGGAUAACAGGCUGAUCCUGCCCAAGAGUCCAUAUCGACGGCAUGGUUUGGCACCUCGAUGUCGGCUCGUCGCAUCCUGGGGCUGGAGUUGGUCCCAAGGGUUGGGCUGUUCGCCCAUUAAAGCGGUACGCGAGCUGGGUUUAGAACGUCGUGAGACAGUUCGGUCCCUAUCCGCUGCGCGCGCAGGAAAUUUGAGAGAAUCUGUCCCUAGUACGAGAGGACCGGGAUGGACAAACCUCUGGUGUGCCAGUUGUUCCGCCAGGAGCACGGCUGGUUGGCUACGUUUGGAACGGAUAACCGCUGAAAGCAUCUAAGCGGGAAGCCGGUCUCAAGAUGAGAUUUCCAUGGACUUCGGUCCUGAAGGCCCCCAGCAGACCACUGGGUUGAUAGGCCGGAUGUGGAAGAGGGGACUAAAGACCCUUGAAGCUGACCGGUACUAAUAGGCCAAUAACUUAACUUC